rnacentral:rRNA from 1 species
CAUUGCUCUGACGGAUGCUUUUAUUAGACCAAGCCGCUGAGGACUUGAGAGUUCGAUCUCUUGUCUGACUCGUGUAAUGGUGACUCUGGAUAACCAAAUUUCUGACAAGCGCACGUACUUCUCUUCUGAGCGAGACGGCGCUGCCACUUUCGAGUGUCUGCCUUAUCAGCUAUCAACCGUUCGUUAUGCGCGACCGAUGGCUUUGACGGGUAACGGGGAAUCAGGGUUCGAUUCCGGAGAGGCAGCCUGAGAGACGGCUACCACGUCCAAGGACGGCAGCAGGCACGCAAAUUACCCAAUCCCAGCAAAUGGGGGAGGUAGUGACGAAAUCUAACGAUGCGGGCGCCCUUUCUGGGGCCCCGCAAUCGGAAUGGGCACUUUCUAAACAACCUGUUGAGAACCUACUGAAGGGCAAGUCUGGUGCCAGCAGCCGCGGUAAUUCCAGCUUCAGCAGCAUCUAUUAAAGUUGCUGCGGUUAAAAGGCUCGCAGUUGAAUGUCUGUAUCGAGCGCAGGUCAGGUGGACGUUGGGGCGUGGAAGUACGGGCAGUUGGAUGUCCGGAGGGCCUUCGUGCUCAACGGCUCCUUCGGCUUUUCCACACACCCCCGUCCGUGACAAGCCUCCUCGCUCGGGUACAUAACGGGAAUCGGUCAAACGGAGUGUGGUCGAGGGUUGAGGUGCGUGGCUUCGGUUGCGUGCUUCUUCUUUCGGCUGCGUUAAGCUCCAUCGGUUUCACGGUCACCUUGAGUAAAUCAGAGUGCUCAAAGCAGUCGUAGGGGCCUUGCGCCCUGUGAACAGUCUUGACGGACUGACUUGGUUUUGCAUGGCAUGUCGGAAGACGACGUCGUGUGCUGGCUCAGAGGAUAAAUCAGUGGUACAAGCCAGCCUCGACGUAAUGAUUAAAAGGGACGGUCGAGGGCAUUGGUAUUGCGAGGCGAGAGGUGAAAUUCUGUGACCCCCGCAAGACCUCCUGAAGCGAAAGCGUCUGCCAAGGACGUUUUCAUUAAUCAUGAACGAAAGUUAGAGGAUCGAAGGCGAUCAGAUACCGCCCUAGUUCUAACCCUAAACGAUGCCAACCAUCAAUCCGCGCGUAGCACCCUUCUUAACGGGCUCGGCGGGCAGCUCCCCACUCACGGGAAACCAGAGCCUCUGGGUUCCGGGGGGAGUCUGGUUGCAAAGCUGAAACUUAAAGGAAUUGACGGAAAGGCACCACCAGGCGUGGAGCCUGCGGCUUAAUUUGACUCAACACGGGCCAUCUCACCAGGCCAGCACUCUUGUACGAUUGACAGAUGAGAGCUCUUCUCGAUCAGUGGAUGGUGGUGCAUGGCCGUUCUUAGUUGGUGGAGUGAUCUGUCUGGUUAAUUCCGAUAACGAACGAGACUCUCCCCUGCUAACUAGUCGGUUGGAUCUUGAUCAGCGGGUUGCGUGCCGAGUAACUCUCGCUGUGCGUGGUUCGUAGCUGGGCCUCACGGUUCGUUGCGUCCUCGCGUGGUGUUGGAUGCCUUGGAUCACACUGCACCCCAAGUCCGCCGCUUAUGCUAUAACUCUUCUUAGAGGGAUUCACGGCACUGAAGCCGUAAGAGACUGAGAGCAAUAACAGGUCUGUGAUGCCCUUAGAUGCUCUGGGCCGCACGCGCGCUACAAUGCCGGGCACAGCAGGUGUUUCUCCUUCUCCGACAGGAGCGGGUAACCCUCUGAAAGCCAGUGUUCUUGCAAGUGCUUCCUCCCUCGUGGAGUUGCACAGAGGCGUGCUUGGGCCUGGGACUUGCAAUUCUUUCCCACCAACGAGGAAUGCCUAGUA